rnacentral:rRNA from 1 species
UACGUAGGGUGCGAGCGUUGUCCGGAAUUAUUGGGCGUAAAGAGCUCGUAGGCGGUUUGUCGCGUCUGCUGUGAAAACUCGAGGCUCAACCUCGGGCUUGCAGUGGGUACGGGCAGACUAGAGUGCGGUAGGGGUGACUGGAAUUCCUGGUGUAGCGGUGGAAUGCGCAGAUAUCAGGAGGAACACCGAUGGCGAAGGCAGGUCACUGGGCCGCAACUGACGCUGGAGGAAGCGAAAGCAUGGGGAGCGAACAGG